GCCCAGACUCCUACGGGAGGCAGCAGUGAGGAAUAUUGGUCAAUGGCCGAGAGGCUGAACCAGCCAAGUCGCGUGAGGGAAGACGGCCCUACGGGUUGUAAACCUCUUUUGUCGGGGAGCAAAGCGAGUCACGUGUGACUCAUUGAGAGUACCCGAAGAAAAAGCAUCGGCUAACUCCGUGCCAGCAGCCGCGGUAAUACGGAGGAUGCGAGCGUUAUCCGGAUUUAUUGGGUUUAAAGGGAGCGUAGAUGGGUUGUUAAGUCAGUUGUGAAAGUUUGCGGCUCAACCGUAAAAUUGCAAUUGAUACUGGCAGCCUUGAGUACAGUUGAGGUAGGCGGAAUUCGUGGUGUAGCGGUGAAAUGCUUAGAUAUCACGAAGAACUCCGAUUGCGAAGGCAGCAUACCGGCGCCCAACUGACGCUGAAGCACGAAAGCGUGGGUAUCGAACAGGAUUAGAUACCCGAGUA
rnacentral:rRNA from 1 species